rnacentral:rRNA from 1 species
UACAGAGGUCCCAAGCGUUGUUCGGAUUUACUGGGCGUAAAGGGUGCGUAGGCGGUUAGAAAAGUCUGAUGUGAAAUCUUGGAGCUCAACUCUGAAACUGCAUUGGAUACUGUCUGACUCGAGGUAUGGAUGGGAGAUUGGAAUUCUCGGUGUAGCAGUGAAAUGCGUAGAUAUCGAGAGGAACAUCAGUGGCGAAGGCGAAUCUCUGGACAUUACCUGACGCUGAGGCACGAAAGCCAAGGGAGCAAACGGG